UGGGGAAUUUUGGACAAUGGGCGCAAGCCUGAUCCAGCCAUGCCGCGUGCGGGAAGAAGGCCUUCGGGUUGUAAACCGCUUUUGUCAGGGAAGAAAUCUUCUGAGUUAAUACCUCGGGAGGAUGACGGUACCUGAAGAAUAAGCACCGGCUAACUACGUGCCAGCAGCCGCGGUAAUACGUAGGGUGCAAGCGUUAAUCGGAAUUACUGGGCGUAAAGCGUGCGCAGGCGGUUUUGUAAGACAGAGGUGAAAUCCCCGGGCUCAACCUGGGAACUGCCUUUGUGACUGCAAGGCUUGAGUGCGGCAGAGGGGGAUGGAAUUCCGCGUGUAGCAGUGAAAUGCGUAGAUAUGCGGAGGAACACCGAUGGCGAAGGCAAUCCCCUGGGCCUGCACUGACGCUCAUGCACGAAAGCGUGGGGAGCAAACAGGAUUAGAUACCCUGGUAGUCCACGCCCUAAACGAUGUCAACUGGUUGUUGGGAAGGUUCCUUCUCAGUAACGUAGCUAACGCGUGAAGUUGACCGCCUGGGGAGUACGGCCGCAAGGUUGAAACUUAAAUGAAUUGACGGGGUCAUAGCUGUUUCC
rnacentral:rRNA from 1 species